CUUUCAGUUUACCUCAAUAAGCCAUAUCAAGAUAAAUUUCGUUCUUAUAGGACUCUCAUACAUUAAACCUUUCUGCAAUUCUAAUCUGUUCAAGUAUACCUUUAAUUGUUAUUACUUAAUUAGUUAUUAUACUUAAUAGUAAUGUAGUAUAGUUUUAUUGUUUUGCUGUGUUAAAUAUUAGUAUACAUGCCCUUAAUCACGUAAGUCUAUAUACAUUUUUUAAAAUUUUAUUCAAGAAACAUAUCAACAUUUUAACAGCUACUAAAAGCAAAUAGGUACACCGUACAUGUACAAGAAAGAAUUCAACAUUAACGGAUAAACAGACCGGUUUGACAUCUUGACAAAGUUCAACUUGUGACUCUGACUGAGACUGUACAGGCUUAUCACAAGGAGAUUCUGAUGUAACUGAUGUACCACUUGCACUAUCUAAAUCACACUCCUGCUUGAUUGUAACAUCUCGGAUCUCUACAUGCAGAACUUAAGCCAGGGUAUAUCUCUGCAAACCGCUCUACCAUAAGGUACAUGGAGUUCCAUCUGGUUUUGACAUCUAGAACAACAUUAUGGUUAGGAUUUGGUGUUGGCAAGGGUGACUCACUUUUACGGUUAAGGUAAGGAACUGAUGAUUCACUGGGCAGCUCAUGUGUACUGGUUUCUGUAUCAAGUUGGGGCAGUGGUGGUUCCUCAGGCUGAUUCACAGA